UACGUAGGGGGCGAGCGUUGUCCGGAUUUAUUGGGCGUAAAGCGUGCGUAGGCGGCUGCGCAAGUCGGGUGUGAAACCCCGGGGCUCAACCCCGGAACUGCAUCCGAUACUGCGUGGCUAGAGGUAGGUAGGGGAGAUCGGAAUUCCUGGUGUAGCGGUGAAAUGCGCAGAUAUCAGGAGGAACACCAGUGGCGAAGGCGGCUACCUGGACCGGAACUGACGCUGAGGCGCGAAAGCGUGGGUAGCAAACAGG
rnacentral:rRNA from 1 species